UCCUAACAUAUGUUAUCUUUUCAGUUUCUAGACGACCUUUACACCGAUCCUUCUUUCUGACGAGUCUGAUAUAUCAUCCCCAGUAAUGCUAUAGCAUUGGAAAUCAAUGACCAUUAAAUUAACAUUUCAUUGUAAUAUCUAAACAUCUUGUUUUCUUGUUUCAUGUUAUUGAAAUUCAAUAAAAUCACAUUAGAAAUAAUUUUCUAGCAUAAUCACACAAUAAAUUGUCGGGUAUAUAAUAAUUAUAUUUAAUAAAUCAAUAUCGGUUUGAUACUUUAAAGAAUUAGCCAUUGUUCCAUCUUUUAAAACAUUCACAGCAUCCCUUGUAUGUUUUGAAAAUCUGUGUUGCAGGGAAGCUUAAUAUGGUAGCAUUCAUGAGAAUUAUGAUAAUUAUAUGUUUGUGAGUAAAAGACGGUGACGUUAUUCAUUAACAUUUGAGGAAAAUAUCAACGCAUCGUUUAGUGAAAAUAAUUCAGAUUUUGAUUUUUUUCAGUGAAGAGUAUUCUAGUAACAGUUAAAAUGGAUAUAUGACAGUCAAACCUGUAGGAAUUAGACAUUUUUCUCUAUUAUUUAUUUGUGAUGGAGUUUUGCUUUGGAAUAUUUGAACUGGUACACCAGACAGAGUGUGGGAGAGUCUAAUCGGGGCAGCAUUUCAACUUUUGCUGUACUACCGAGAUUAUUGCAUAGAUAUUUGGAGAUUUAAAUACAUUAUUUUGGAGUGAAAUUUUAAAAGGUAAGAAUCCAAAUUUGUAAGAUUGAUUUUUGCAUUUAUAUCUUUUGUUCUGAUUAUCUGUUUACAUGGUUUAGAGUUAUUAAAAUUUUAUGUUAAAGUUUGCAGUGACGUCAUUCUCCAAGUACUGCAUUUCGGCAGAAACUUGUGAAUCAUCUUAUUUGGAGAUAAGCCAAAAGUGGAUUUAAGAGAUAUAUUAUGUAAACAAGUGGUGAAUCUUAAAAUUUGUUUAUAUAUUUUAUUCGAACAAAUUUAGAAUUAUGUAAUCUUGUCUUUGAAGAUUUUAAAAGGAGAUAUUAAAGGUAAUAUUCAUAGUCCAAUAGUAACCAUCUGUUGGGUUAAUUUUGUUAAUUUUUUUCAGAGAUUUCAGAUAAUUUCAAAGCUUAACUUUGAAAUAAUAUAUUGUAUACUAAGUUCAUGAUGUUAAUAGUGAGAAAAUAUGGUGGCUUGAUUUUGAUUUUUAUACAGAAACACAUAGUACAUACUCUUGUUCUAUGAUAGGUAUGAAGUUCUUUUACAAAUCAGACAACCUGUUAUUGGGAUUCUGCCCUUGAACUGGUAAUUUUAAGGAAAUUUAACUGUUUUGGGGUUAUUAUCUUUAAUAUUAUUCUAGAUAGAGAUAAAUUGUAAAAGGCAAUAAUGUUUAGCAAAGUAAGAUCUACAAAUAAGUAAAAUAUGACCAAAUAUAUAUAUUAUUCAUAUGUCUAUGUCUGGUCAGUUUAUGAGAUUUUACUAUCCAAAAUAGUUGGUUAUUUUACAACUAUAUAAGGUCAUGUACAGAAAAAUUUAGAUGAGAAAUAUACAAGGGAAGCACUAGCAAACGCUAACCAUAUUGAGUUUCAUUCGAUUUUCAAACAUCAGAUCAGAAGUGGAAGUUUGUUUUUGAUGAUAAUUUUACAGGAAUGAGAAUGUUCACAAGCAUAUUUAUUAGUUGUGUGCAUUGGUCAGAUGGUAAAACUUAUCAAACGUCUCCGAAAAUUAUUUGGAACAAUAUCCAAUAUUUCCAUAGAUUGAGUGCAGAUUUCUUUUUUCCAAACUCUUCAAAGAGUGAAUAUUCCAUAUAUUCCAAAAAAUUGAAGACAGGGAUCAAAUGACCCCUAAUGGAAAAUCAAUGGUAUUUUGCAGUGGCAGAUUUUAGGGGGGGGGGGUGGUGGUGGUUCUGAACCCCUUUUUAUUGGAUGAUCAAUGCAUUUGCAUGAGCACAUAUGGUUUUCUACACAUGAUAAUGCCUUAUGAUGUCAUGCAAAUUAAAAAAAAAAUUGUGUAAGACACAGAAUUUUUAAAAACAUGAGAGCCAGUUGACAAAUAAUGGCUCUUUUAACUUUGUUAAGUAGCUUACUUAGAUUUGUUUCUGUCACAAUUGAUUUAAAUGAAUAACUUUAUGCAACUUUUACAUUUUGCAGAGAAAAAAAAUGUCGUCAGUUAAGGUAGCUGUGCGUGUCCGUCCAUUCAACAGUAGAGAGGUGGCACAUAAGUCUAGCUGUAUUAUUGGCAUGACUGGAAACACCACUAGUA
rnacentral:lncRNA from 1 species